UACGUAGGGGGCAAGCGUUGUCCGGAAUCACUGGGCGUAAAGCGCGCGCAGGCGGUCAUCUACGUCUGGGGUGAAAGCCCGGAGCUCAACUCCGGGAUUGCCUUGGAUACGGGAUGACUUGAGGGUCGGAGAGGCAAGGGGAAUUCCACGUGUAGCGGUGAAAUGCGUAGAGAUGUGGAGGAACACCUGUGGCGAAGGCGCCUUGCUGGCCGAUUUCUGACGCUGAGGCGCGAAAGCGUGGGGAGCAAACAGG
rnacentral:rRNA from 1 species